GGCGGCGUGGCUCAGUUGGUAGAGCGUGGUGUUUGCAAUGCCAGGUUCGUGGUUUCAAUUCCCAUUGGACUCA
rnacentral:tRNA from 1 species